rnacentral:rRNA from 1 species
UACGUAGGGGGCGAGCGUUAUCCGGAAUUAUUGGGCGUAAAGAGUACGUAGGUGGUUUGUUAAGCGCAAGGUGAAAGGCAGAGGCUUAACUUCUGUGAGCCUUGUGAACUGGCAGACUUGAGUGCAGGAGGGGAAAGUGGAAUUCCUAGUGUAGCGGUGAAAUGCGCAGAUAUUAGGAGGAACACCGGUGGCGAAGGCGACUUUCUGGACUGUAACUGACACUGAGGUACGAAAGCGUGGGUAGCAAACA